GUAAUGGAACAGUCCACCGGGUUCCAGGCGCCGGGGCUCCGGCGUUUAACCCCUUUCCUGCCGAUCCCAAAGAAUCUGCCUGGCGGAGGCGCGGUGGGAUCCUGCCUCGGGGCCUGCUGCGCUGGAGCACCGCGGGCAGGUAGGGGUAGUCGGUCUGCAGCGAGGCAGCGACCACCCACCCGCAAAACGGCAUAAAUAUCAUAAAUCUGAUAAAGUCAUCCAACAUGUCUUCUUCGUAGUGUUGUGGAAACGUGUGACAAUGUUUAAAUAGUGAUUGGUUAAACUAGGGGUGUGUGUGUGUUGCUGCCUUUUUGUUUGUUUGUUUGUUUGUUUGUUUGUUUGUUGGUUGGUUUGUUGGUUUUAUGAUUCCCAGUGGAGAAUUUUGUAGAUCCAGUAUGGACGGCACCUAGCUGUCCGCCGGGCGAGCAAUCUCCUCGUCCCUGCAGACGGAGCAUUGUCCUCGCUCAGCCGGAGCGGCUGCUUUCCCCAGGUGGGCUCAGUCAUGUACGGAAAAUCACGCUAUGAAAAGCAAGUGUCCAUAAAGGAGUCGGAGGAGUCCAGCAGCUUUACUCACGUAAUGGGAGAGAGUGCACUGAGGCACACGCCCACGGGGUUUUCUCUCUCGAGGUUUUGGAGGAUGCAGCCUCCUCUUACCCCUUUAUCCUAAACUCCCGACCGCACGUUGCCCUAUUCCUUUCCCCGCUGGCAACGCUACGAAGAAAGUACAGCCUUUCCGAACCGCCCAACACAUAUCCCCACUUGAACCUGUCAUUUUGUCCCAAAGUUGAGGAGUUGAGGCUUGUGCAGACCCUUGCCUUUUUCAGGAGUCAGGCCGUCUGGGCUCUGUAACAAACUUGCGGCUUGAAGUCAGUGGAGAUAUUAAGACCCAUUUCAAAGACGUUAACACCCAUUCCUUCACCCGUAGAAUUGUUUGUAAAGACAUUAGCACACAUCCUUCCCACCAGUCACCUCUCAGAAACUCUUCGGCAAUAUCUGGAGACAUGGUGUCCUGACACUGAGAGCUGGGGUCCCAACCUGCUUUUCCCCACUUAAUCACUUAAAUGUCUAAGCAAGGAACAUGUGGAAUGAGUUUUGGAAGUGAAACUUCUGCAAGUUGCACGAGUGUAGAAGAGCAUUUUCUAGAAGCCUCCCAAGUGAUAUGAAUGGAUCUACAAAUUUGAAUUCCUUGUCUGAUUAAGCCAAGCAAGAAUGAAGUCAGCUGCAAGAAAAAGGCACAGGGUAAAUGAACAUAGUUUUUAUCUGAAUUAUUGUCCUAUAUUAAUGAAAGUACAGAUUUGCACCAUUAUUUUAAAAACAGAAGACCUGCAUAUGUAGCUUCCAGUUGGAAUACAAGUUUGCAACAAAGGAAAAACAAAUUCCAUCUCUCUAAUGAGACACUGAUGAUAAUAAUUUUUAAUAAGUCAUUGCAUUCUGGAGCUAAUGGGAUUUGUACCUAUAGGAAUGUAUUUCAUGUUGUUCCACAGCAACAUAAGGAAGGUAAAGCUUAAACUCUUUUUAAGAAGACUGAUUUUUCAUUUAAAACCCUUCAGAUUGUACCUCUUGUGAAAUGACUUAUUUCUAAUGAAUCUGCAUUAGGCAUUACUUCAGAGCAUGACUUGUAGAUUUGAGCCCUAGACACUGUAAUGGCUGUCUUGAGCCUUGUCUUGACUCUGGGAUUACUUUUAAAUUACUAAACUAUGUUAAAUGAAAUUUAAAGUAUGGAGCUACAGUUAAGAAGCAUUUUUUGCCAUUUACACAGUGUGCAUUAGUCAAUAGUAAAUUUUAUUGCC